GACUCUUCUGGUUAUUUCUGAUUGAAACUAUUAGUUCAAAAGCUGCAGGCUCCAUCUUGAUAUGUUUAUAUAGGCUCACAUUGAGUCACGUUCUCGGAAGCCCCUUUGCGCGCACACCUACACAAAGACAAGUGGGUUUUUGUCGGACACAAGGUGAUGCCUGCCUCUGAGAUCUGGAUCUAGCUCUGAUUCUGCACUAGAAAACCUGUGCGUGGAUACUGUUGUAAAAUGAACCCCUCCUGCUUGGGUACUGUCAGCCCACGUAGGAGCGCGGAAGCCAUCGAUGGUUGAACUCGUUUCUGUGGCUUGGUUGCCAACGUGCAGAAGCAGAGAUGUGUCUGUUAGUGAAUUGGUUGACAAUAACGUCCUCAACCUGAUUAAAGGAGCUUGGAGAUGAAAA